rnacentral:misc_RNA from 1 species
UCGAGUGUUUACCCCCCUCGUAAAAAAAGGGGGGUUACCUCCCGUCCUUUGCUGAGGGGCCCCCUCUUUUAUUUUUGGGAGGGGGCUUUUUACAGAACCCCCUUCUGCUUCGGCGGGGUCAAACCCCCCUGCCGGAACACCCUCAAAAUUCUUUUUAAUUGUUCAGUCCGAGUGUUUUUUAAAAAUGAUAACA